CCUACGGGAGGCAGCAGUGGGGGAUAUUGCACAAUGGGGGGAACCCUGAUGCAGCGACGCCGCGUGGGUGAAGGAGCGUUUCGGAUCGUAAAGCCCUAUCGGCAGGGAAGAAUAUGACGGUACGUGACGAAGAAGCCCCGGCUAACUACGGUCCAGCCGCCGCGGUAAUACGUAGGGGGGAAGCGUUAUCCGGAUUGACUGGGUGGAAAGGGGGCGCAGACGGCAAUGCCAACCAGGAGUGAAAGCCCGGGGCCCAACCCCGGGACUGGUCUUGGAACUGCAUGGCUGGAGUACAGGAGGGGCAGGCGGAAUUCCUAGUGUAGCGGUGAAAGGCGUAGAUAUUAGGAGGAACACCGGUGGCGAAGGCGGCCUGCUGGACUGUGACUGACGUUGAGGCCCGAAGGCGUGGGGAGCAAACAGGAUUAGAUACCCCAGUAGUC
rnacentral:rRNA from 1 species